GACGAGGGGUCCUAGCGUUGUUCGGAAUCAUUGGGCGUAAAGCGUGUGUAGGCCGCCAUGAAAGUCAGUUGUGAAAGCCCCGGGCUCAACCCGGGAAGUGCUUCUGAUACUGCAUGGCUUGAGUACUGGAGAGGGUAGUGGAAUUCCAGGUGUAGUGGUGAAAUACGUAGAUAUCUGGAGGAACACCGGUGGCGAAGGCGGCUACCUGGCCAUGUACUGACGCUGAGACACGAAAGCGUGGGGAGCAAACAGG
rnacentral:rRNA from 1 species